rnacentral:rRNA from 1 species
UAAACAACCUGCCUUCAGGAUGGGGACAACAGACGGAAACGACUGCUAAUACCGAAUAAGUUCCAAGAGCCGCAUGGCCCAUGGAAGAAAAGGUGGCCUCUACCUGUAAGCUAUCGCCUGAAGAGGGGUUUGCGUCUGAUUAGCUGGUUGGAGGGGGUAACGGCCCACCAAGGCGACGAUCAGUAGCCGGUCUGAGAGGAUGAACGGCCACACUGGAACUGAGACACGGUCCAGACUCCUACGGGAGGCAGCAUG